rnacentral:tRNA from 1 species
GCCCGAGUGGUGAAAUGGUAUACACGCUAGUUUUAGGAACUAGUACCAGUAAUGGUGUGGAGGUUCAAGUCCUCUCUCGGGCA